ensembl:lincRNA Ftx Ftx transcript, Xist regulator (non-protein coding)
GCAGCACAGCGCAGCGCUCCUGGAGAGGCUGUGGGUUCGUGGCAUCCGCGCCGCGGCCGCAAGUAUAGCAGGUUUCGUACCUGGUGUUCAUCGCCGUUAAGUCAUCGCUGCUGCCACCCAGGCACGGCUCUCUAUGCCGCCGCUCCCUCCACCCUCUAGGCACUGCCUGCCGUAAGAAUUUUAACUGCGACACUCGCUUCAGCAGGAGAUUUUAUUGGCUGCAGACACACGCAGCAUCUUCUUGCGCUCCUCCUUGAGGUGGAUGGGCAGCUAGCUGGAGAUGACACAGGAUGAUGCGCAUCUUUCGCACGCUGGCUCCAAGAUCUCCGCUGCCAGUGACUUCAACAGAAGUGGAGUAAAUAAAGAUGAUCACAGAACUUGGAAGCUGACGAAAUUAAUUUUGGAAAAGAGCUGGCUUGGAGCAUGACAGAAGAAUUCGAUGGAAAGAGUGCUGGGAGCCCAACUCAAGACUGAUGUGUGCUUGGCAGGCAGUCUACCCCCGAUCUCAGUCCUCCAGCCUUUCGGCCUUUUUUCCUUUUUGGAGACAGAAUUGCAUCAUAUGGCAUCCUACACAGUCCUGCCUCAGUCUCUGCAGUGCUGGGAUUGUAGGCCUAUGCCACCUAGCCUUUCUACAAUACAAACAAAUAUGAAAAGAAGAGGGACUUCUUUGGAAAGGAGUACAGGGACUAUGGAAGAGAUGAAAAGAUAAUAUUGUCAGAAAUUAUGCCGCUUUUGAAGAGAUAAACUGAACUCUUGAUUCUGUGAGGUUAUUAAAGAAUAUUAAUUUUCAAAUCACGGUAAAAUCUUGAUUCAGCAACACAUGAGGAUAAUCAUUGUGUCCAUGGAAACCUUGGGAAGCAGUUGAAAGCCUGGGUUGGAAGGAACAGAGCCAGUUGGCCAUGGACUGAAACUUUUGGAACUGAUUCUGAGGAGUUAAUGUUUCCAUGAAUAUCUCAGAAGGAGAUGUGGACAAACGAACAGUUAUCUCACUCCUGUAGCUGGCUGAGCUUUUUAAAGAUGGCUAUUCUGAAUUCUUCACAGAUGGCACAGUGUCAGAAUCGUGUGUGGCCUCCUGCUGCCUGAACCAUGCCGCUAAGACAGUUGCCCACUGUGCAGCUUCACACCAUCUGCAGAGAGCAACACUGCAGAGCCUUUGGGAGAGCCUUGCCAGUCGCUGAAAGCCUGGCUGACUGCCAAGCCUUGCACUGUAGACUGAAAAUUGCUCUCUUUGCUGAGCUCAGUACUAACACUUAGAUCUUCAUGGUCUCCUGGGAGACCAUGUCAGCUGCUGUUCAGUGAGAUAAAUUUGGAUCAGCUGAAGAUAUGCACUCUCUAUGCCUUCCUUGACUGUCAGCUAAACAGUGUGCACUCCUGGCUUAGUACAGCCUUGGCUGCUGAGAGCCCCAUUCCUCCCCUGUGCUCUUCAUUGUCCUCAUGAUCUGGCUUUCAUCAUCCAUUAUACUCCUAACACUGGGAGUGAAGUGUCAUUGAAGAAUGUUCAUCAGGCACUACCUCAAAGGGCUGGAGAUGAUUGGUGAAUGCUUUGAUUCUUCAUUCCUCCUAGGACACAUAUCAAGCCCCCAGAAUUUCUCUCUAUCCAGUUGCACCAGUGUGAGGAACUUGACGGUGUCAGGAAAGUGAAACUGCUUCUCUGCUCCAUAUAAAUGUCUGUGCAGAUGCAAAGCCAUGCAUUACAUGGUAGCUCACCUUUAAUCCUAGCACUCAGGAGACAGAGGCAGGAGGAUCUCUCCGAGCUCAAGGCCAGCCUGGUCUUCACAGUGAGUUCCAGGACAGCCAAGGCUACACAGGAAUCCUGUGUACAGGUCCUUGGUAUUGCACUCCUCUCUAUAAACACAACUUGCUUUUAGAAUGUGUGGUUGUUAAGUUGUUCUGUGAAGGAUGGAUAAAGGCUAGCUCACUACUACACCCGUCAGCUUGCUCCUGUCACUUCUUCUCACCUUUGAGCACUUAGCAUCCCUCUCCGUGUUGUCUUUGCUGAAAUGCUUGCUAAGGCGAAGCUCCUCUGUAGCUGUCCUCUAGCCCCAGCCAAGAUUCUUUCAAGAUUUUUCUUUGGCCUUCUGUAAUUUGAAUAUGAUGAAUGUUUUUAUUUACUACUUCAUUUUGUAUUUUGAAUCUUUUUUAAACCAUGCCAGGUUCUCUAGGCUCCUGGUUCUGAUAUGAAUUGAGCGAUUAUCUUAGGCCCUUGUGUUUCAAAUCUUUCUUUCUUUCUUUCUUUCUUUCUUCCUUCCUUCCUUCUUUUCUUUUCUUUUCUUUUCUUUUUUUUUUUUGAGACAGGGUUUCUCUGUAUAGCUCUGGCUGUCCUGUAACUCACCCGGUAGAUCAGGCUGUCCUUGAACUCAGAAAUCCGCCUGCCUCUGCCUCCCAAGUGCUGGAAUUAAAGUCAUGUGCCACCACUGCCCGGCUUACUCAAAUAUUUCCUUUUUUUUUUCAGUCCUCUCUAGUGAUCUCAUUAUACAUGUGUAUAUUCUCUAGUUGUCCCAGUUAUAUGAUGUUCUUCUCUCUCUCUCUCUCUUCCCCCCACCCUGUGUGUGUGUGCGCGUGCAUGCGCGCGUGCAUGUACCCAAGGAAACUAGAAAAGGACUUCAACUCCUUGACGAAGGAGGUACAAGCAUUUGUCAGCCACCUGAUACAGGUAGCAGAAUCUAAACUCUGAUCCACAUUAUUAAGCAGCAAGUGCUGUUACCUGCUAAACUAUCUCGCUGAAAUUUAUCUCUUAGAAAGUUUCUAAUAUAUUAUCACUGUCAGGGAUUCUUUGGCUUGGUUCAGUCUGCUAAUAAGCUUAGGAAAGGCAAUUUUCAUUUUGUUGCAAUAUUUUUGAUCUGUAGCUUUUGUUGUUAUUCUUGUUCAUUUUUCAAACCAGGGUUUCUCCACGGCUAUACUGGAACUCUCUGUAGACUAGGCUGGCCUCAAACUCUCAAAUAUCUCACUGCCUCUGCCUCCCAUGUUCUGGGAUUAUAUCCCUCCACUGCCCAACAGCAUUUAUUUUAUUCUUAAGAUUUGUUUUUCCCUGCUCGUUUGUUUGUUUGUCUGUUUGUUUGGUAUGGUCAUUUGUUUGUUUGUUUUGAUGUAUUUGAACUUGCUAUCUUUAUGUGAGGAUAAGCCUAAGUGUGUAAUAUUUCUGUACUCAUCUCCCAAAUGCUGAAAUGUAGACACGAACCACCACACACUAGGUUUGUUUGGUUUUCUUUUGCAUGCAUUUAUUGUAUUGUGUACAGUACUGGUACCAAAGGAGUCCAUCACAUUCUCUAGAACUUGAAUUACAGAUGGUUGUGAGUUGUCACAUGGUGCUGAGAAUUAAACUUGAUCUUCUUCUUUUUUAAAUUUAAAUUUCUUCACUUACAUUUAAAAUGCUAUCUGAAAAGUCCCCCAUUACCCCCCCCCCCCACNNNNNNNNNNNNNNNNNNNNNNNNNNNNNNNNNNNNNNNNNNNNNNNNNNNNNNUAUAAAGUUUGCAAGACCAAGGAGCCUCUCUUCCCAAUGAUGGCCGACUAGGCCAUCUUCUACAUAUGCAACUAGAGACACAAGCUCUGGGGUACUGGUUAGUUCAUAAUGUUAUUCCACCUAUAGGGUUGCAGACCCCUUCAGCUCCUUGGGUACUUGCUCUAGCUCCUCCAUUGGGGACCCUGUGUUCUAAACUUGAUCUUCUGAAGAGUAACCACUAUUGAUUUUAACUGCUAAGUCAUGUCUCCAGUCCCAAAAGAGGUUUUUUUGUUUGUUUGUUUUUCAUUACUGUGAUGAUCCUAUAAUGAAGAAGAGAAUGCUGGUGGUUUGUUUAUGUGUUUGUUUGUUUUUUGAGACAGGGUUUCACUGUGUGUCCUUGGCUGCCCUGGAAUUUAAGCAUCAGACUGGCCUUGAUCUCACAGAGAUCUGCCUACUUUUGCGCUGAGAUUAAAGGUCUGCACUAACACCUCCCAGCCAGAUGUCUCUUUAACAGACUGACUUUACUUCCUCACGAGUAUUAUGAUGGUUUCUUCCUGUCCUGUGAGGAAUGCUAUUGAUUUGGGGUUUGGUUUGUGGAAUUUUUGUUUUCUGGUUUUUUGUAAUUUUUCCCCCCUAAAUAUCAUGCUGUCUUAUUCUUUGGU